rnacentral:rRNA from 1 species
AUUGAACGCUGGCGGCAUGCUUUACACAUGCAAGUCGAACGGUAACAGGCCGCAAGGUGCUGACGAGUGGCGAACGGGUGAGUAAUGCAUCGGAACGUGCCCAGUCGUGGGGGAUAACGCAGCGAAAGCUGCGCUAAUACCGCAUACGAUCUCUGGAUGAAAGCGGGGGACCGAAAGGCCUCGCGCGAUUGGAGCGGCCGAUGUCAGAUUAGGUAGUUGGUGGGGUAAAGGCUCACCAAGCCAACGAUCUGUAGCUGGUCUGAGAGGACGACCAGCCACACUGGGACUGAGACACGGCCCAGACUCCUACGGGAGGCAGCAGUGGGGAAUUUUGGACAAUGGGCGCAAGCCUGAUCCAGCAAUGCCGCGUGCAGGAAGAAGGCCUUCGGGUUGUAAACUGCUUUUGUACGGAACGAAACGGUCCUGGUUAAUACCUGGGGCUAAUGACGGUACCGUAAGAAUAAGCACCGGCUAACUACGUGCCAGCCGCCGCAGUAAUAC